rnacentral:rRNA from 1 species
UACGUAGGGGACCAGCGUUGUCCGGAUUUCCUGGGCGUAAAGAGCGCGCAGGCGGUCGUUCAAGUCGAGUGUGAAAGCCCCCGGCUCAACUGGGGAGGGUCAUUCGAUACUGAUCGACUCGAAGGCAGGAGAGGGAAGUGGAAUUCCCGGUGUAGUGGUGAAAUGCGUAGAUAUCGGGAGGAACACCAGUGGCGAAGGCGACUUCCUGGUCCAGCACCGACGUUCAGGCACGAAAGCGUGGGGAGCAAACAGG